rnacentral:tRNA from 5 species
GGUCCCAUCGUCUAGCGGUUAGGACGCUGGCCUCUCACGCCGGAAACCCGGGUUCGAUUCCCGGUGGGAUCACCA